rnacentral:rRNA from 1 species
AUUGAACGCUGGCGGCAUGCCUUACACAUGCAAGUCGAACGGCAGCGCGGGGCAACCUGGCGGCGAGUGGCGAACGGGUGAGUAAUAUAUCGGAACAUACCCUAGAGUGGGGGAUAACGUAGCGAAAGUUACGCUAAUACCGCAUACGCACUAAGGUGGAAAGUGGGGGAUUCGCAAGAACCUCAUGCUCAUGGAGUGGCCGAUAUCUGAUUAGCUAGUUGGUGAGGUAAAGGCUCACCAAGGCAACGAUCAGUAGCUGGUUUGAGAGAACGACCAGCCACACUGGAACUGAGACACGGUCCAGACUCCUACGGGAGGCAGCAGUGGGGAAUUUUGGACAAUGGGGGGCAACCCUGAUCCAGCAAUGCCGCGUGAGUGAAGAAGGCCUCGGGUUGGUAAAGACGUCUUUUGUUCUAGGGAAGAAACGGUAGAGAGCUAAUAUACUCUUGCUAAUGACGGUACCUGAAGAAUAAGC